ensembl:lncRNA
AGAGAGAGAGAGAGAGAGAGAGAGAGAGAGAGAGAGAGAGAGAGAGAGAGAGAGAGACUGGGUCCUAGCUGACCCCUCAGGCCACUCAGAGCAAAGUUUGAGAAUGACCUGAGAAAUAGCACUGAAUGGCAUCAGAGUGCUUUAGUAAGGUCGCUCCUCCACAGACUGUUUCUCCAGCUUGCACAGAGAGAUUGCAAGUGUCCUGAACCCAUGUGGACAAUUUCUCAGUGUCCUACAUACUGGAUCUGGGAACCUACCCCAGGCCUGUGUCCUGGCCUCAUUCCUACCUCGAGUCCCCAGGGGUCCCCACCUGCUUGGACUCUGUUGCUGCUCACCUGUGGCUUGGAGUCCCACCCUGUCAUUGUCAUGGACGUCCUCCUCAUUUCACUCACGGCCUGAAACUUGGUCUCUGGGGUGCCACAACUAUACAAGGAUCCCAGGGGCUGGAGACCUGGCACCGUCUCCAGCUUCCGUGCCUCCCCCAAGCAAGGCUGGGGGUUCCAGCUCUCCUAAGUUCUUCUCACCCCAUCUUCCCCUCAGGUGAUCACAAGGGAGAGAGAUUGAGACCACCAAGGGUCUCACACACAGGCAGAGUCACCAGGCCUGCUGAAGCUCUUUAUUGAGGCGAUGGGGAGGAGGAUGAGGAGAGAGAGGAGAGUCGGAGGGACCAACAGGGCACUCUUUCCGCCUCCCACAGGACAGAGAUUCUGGCUGUGCUCGCUGCCUUGGACUUCUUUGGAGCCUUGGUUCGCCAUGCUCUAAAAAGGGGAGUUUGUGAGCAAGCAGGGUACAGUGACUGACUGGUUAUGGUGGGGGGUGGGAAUGUUAGGUGCUUUGGGGCAGCAUCACAGGCUCACAGAGAAGCAAAACUAGCUAGUGCUGGACAAGGAAUUCCUUUCUGCUGAGUUCUCUCAGAAAAGCUCUGUCCACGUAGUGGUGAUUAGGCAAGGGUGUGACUGACAAGUGGAGGCAUAAAGGAUAUGGAUAUCAUGACCCCACCUGUCCCUGGCCAUCCUCAUUCAGGGCCCAGGACUUUCUGCUCCAUGGUCAGAGUAGGCUCAGGGACACAGGGAUGGCAGGUAUACACCAGCAGGUAGGAAAUCCCCAGAAGCCCUGAAGGAGACUAAGGACAGGACGUUUGCUGGAUGGGUGGCAACUGGGCAGUGUAUGUCAGGGUAUCCCAGCGUGUCCCAGCGUGUUCCAGCGUGUCCCAGAUUAUCCCAGCGUGUCCCAGCAUGUCCCAGCGUGUCCCAGAUUAUCCCAGCGUGUCCCAGCGUGUCCCAGCGUGUCUCAGCGUGUCCCAGCGUGUCCCAGCGUGUCCCACUGAUGGAAUGAAGAAGGCAAGCAACCCUUAAUGACCCAGGAAUGAAGUUCAGGGCACAUGGAGCCCGGGGACACAGAAACCAGGAAGUUCCUGGCUGCAACUGAGACCUCCACGUGAAACCUGAGGCACAGUGGAAUACCAAGGUUCUUCUCUGUUAAAGGGUCACUUACCUAGUUACUCUCUGGUUCACAUGUUUCUGUAGGAAGCAGAAAACUCAGGGAUAAGAAUGAGCCCUGGACAACAGUCCAUGGCUCAUUUCUUCCCAUGACCAAGAACUGUUGCAGGGACCACACUGUCCUCGUUGGGGGCAGGGGACAUGAGAGUGGCAGACUUACUGGGGACAGAGAGAGGAUCAUGGGUUGCAUGUGCCCUCACCCAUCUGUUCAGGUAUAAGCAGGUUCUCUGGAACAAGUCUCUUUAGCUGUGUGAACUCCUUAAAUUCCUCCAAAGCCUCCAAAUCUUCCUGGGGGAAUUUAAGGAGUUCACACAGCUAAAGAGACUUGUUCCAGAGAACCUGCUUAUACCUGAACAGAUGGAAACAUGUGAACCAGAGAGUAACUAGAGCAUGGCGAACCAAGGCUCCAAAGAAGUCCAAGGCAGCGAGCACAGCCAGAAUCUCUGUCCUGUGGGAGGCGGAAAGAGUGCCCUGUUGGUCCCUCCGACUCUCCUCUCUCUCCUCAUCCUCCUCCCCAUCGCCUCAAUAAAGAGCUUCAGCAGGCCUGGUGACUCUGCCUGUGUGUGAGA